UCUAUGCGAGAUCAUCUUAAA
ensembl:piRNA 21ur-1607 ncRNA